rnacentral:rRNA from 1 species
CCAAUAGCGUAUAUUAAAGUUGUUGCAGUUAAAAAGCUCGUAGUUGAACUUCGGGAUCAAUGGAUCGGUCAUGCCAUCGGUAUGUACUGGUCUCAUUGGUUCUCACCUUCUAAGGAACCAUAAUGUCAUUCAUUUGAUGUUUUGGGGAAUUAGGACUGUUACCUUGAAAAAAUUAGAGUGUUUAAAGCAGGCUAACGCUUGAAUACAUUAGCAUGGAAUAAUGAAAUAGGACAUCGCAUUCUAUUUUGUUGGUUUCUAGGAUCGAUGUAAUGAUUAAUAGGGAUAGUUGGGGGCAGUAGUAUUCAUGUGGCAGAGGUGAAAUUCUUGGAUUUAUUUAAGACUAACUACUGCGAAAGCAUUUGCCAAGGAUGUUUUUAUUAAUCAAGAACGAAAGUUAGGGGAUCGAAGACGAUCAGAUACCGUCGUAGUCUUAACCAUAAACUAUGCCGACUAGGGACCGGAUGAUGUUGAUUUUUUAAUGACUCAUUCGGCACCUUACG